AUUGAACGCUAGCGGGAUGCUUUACACAUGCAAGUCGAACGGCAGCGCGGACUUCGGUCUGGAGGCGAGUGGCGAACGGGUGAGUAAUGUAUCGGAACGUGCCCAGUAGCGGGGGAUAACUACGCGAAAGCGUAGCUAAUACCGCAUACGCCCUACGGGGGAAAGCAGGGGAUCGUAAGACCUUGCACUAUUGGAGCGGCCGAUAUCGGAUUAGCUAGUUGGUGGGGUAACGGCUCACCAAGGCGACGAUCCGUAGCUGGUUUGAGAGGACGACCAGCCACACUGGGACUGAGACACGGCCCAGACUCCUACGGGAGGCAGCAGUGGGGAAUUUUGGACAAUGGGGGCAACCCUGAUCCAGCCAUCCCGCGUGUGCGAUGAAGGCCUUCGGGUUGUAAAGCACUUUUGGCAGGAAAGAAACGUCGCGGGCUAAUACCCCGUGGAACUGACGUUACCUGCAGAAUAAGCACCGGCUAACUACGUG
rnacentral:rRNA from 1 species